rnacentral:misc_RNA from 1 species
UUUUCAUCUUGUGUCGCACAUGCGAUGUGAGAUGAACCUUGAAGUAGCCUUUGUGAUCCACUCUUUCGAUGUACACGCAUUGAUUUUGUGGCCCACUGUGUGUUGCAUGGUCUCAUGGAUAUGGAACCUGGUGUGGGCAUGGGAUCUUUACUAGUUCCUUGUUUGCCUUGAUUUAGCUUUUCUAAUACGAUUGUUUAUCACAUUUUAAUGUGGUAGGCUAUAUCGGAUAUGAAUGCUACCUGGUUGAUCCUGCC